UACGUAGGUGGCAAGCGUUGUCCGGAUUUACUGGGCGUAAAGAGCGCGCAGGCGGUCGUACAAGUCGCGUGUGAAAGCCCCCGGCUCAACUGGGGAGGGUCACGCGAUACUGUUCGACUCGAAGGCAGGAGAGGGAAGUGGAAUUCCCGGUGUAGUGGUGAAAUGCGUAGAUAUCGGGAGGAACACCAGUGGCGAAGGCGACUUCCUGGCCUGUUCUUGACGCUGAGGCGCGAAAGCUAGGGUAGCAAACGGGAUUAGAAACCCUGAGAGUCCG
rnacentral:rRNA from 1 species